rnacentral:rRNA from 1 species
CCUACGGGUGGCAGCAGUGAGGAAUAUUGGUCAAUGGGCGCGAGCCUGAACCAGCCAAGUAGCGUGAAGGAUGACUGCCCUAUGGGUUGUAAACUUCUUUUAUAAGGGAAUAAAGUGUUCCACGUGUGCCUUUUUGUAUGUACCUUAUGAAUAAGGAUCGGCUAACUCCGUGCCAGCAGCCGCGGUAAUACGGAGGAUCCGAGCGUUAUCCGGAUUUAUUGGGUUUAAAGGGAGCGUAGGGGGCUAGUUCAGUCAGUUGUGAAAGUUUGCGGCUCAACCGUAACAUUGCAGUUGAUACUGGCAGUCUUGAGUACAGUAGAGGUAGGCGGAAUGCGUGGUGUAGCGGUGAAAUGCUGAGAUAUCACGAAGAACUCCGAUUGCGAAGGCAGCUUACUGGACUGCCACUGACACUGAGGCUCGAAAGUGUGGGUAUCAAACAGGAUUAGAUACCCGUGUAGUC